rnacentral:lncRNA from 1 species
AUGGUCCAGCCCAGUCCCCUCCCUCACGGCUGGGGCUGGCUGUUAACCCCUUCCUGGGAGGACUGGCUCCGGCUCCUGCUGUGGAGGUGCGGGCAGAGGAAAGGAGCUGCUGUCGGGCCCUAUCUCCUGCUACAACUUAGGGGUAGACUUAGAGCAAGCCCCCCUCCUGUGCACAGGAGGCUCCACGAGGGAAAGCCUUCCCAGAGAUGGGGCUCUUGGGAGAUGGCACAGAUUCUGGGACCCACGCUCCCCGAGGUUAGACAACUUGCCUUGUCAGUCUCAGCAGACCCCCCAAUCCCUCUGCCCCACCCCGUUCUAUACCUGGUUCUCCUCAGCUCCAGGCAAGAGGCUGAGAAUCGUCACCUCAAGCCCACUCAGGCCCUGCUCUCUGCCCCUGGAACUCUUCAGCAGCUCGUCUGGGUGCUGCUUCCUGGGUGGGAGGACAGAGUCCAGUGGGGCGGGCUCUCAGAUAAGCCUGAGGAAUGUGCUGGGCAGGCUGGAGGUGGCCACUGUGGAAGCAGUCACCUCGCCCUGGCGCUGGGAAGGUCAGGCUGGUCUGUUAGGGCACUGGGUCUGGCCAGGACUUGCGGUGCCCCACAUCCUGAGCACAGGCAGGAGUUAAUUACAUGGAGAACUAGCAAUCACCUGGGCUUGGGGCAGAGGACAAAGCUGGACCACACUGAGGGGCACCAAGGGGCAGCCAAUAUGCAUCGGGAAAAGGGGUGCCGUCAGGCGCUCUCAGAAUCAGGCAGAUUACCAGAUAACGAAGACUCAGACUUAGGGGGGAGGUGUCUCAGUGAUGACCCAGUCCAACAUCCAUUCUACAUCAUUUUACAGUUGGGGAAAAGAAAGCUGCCCAGAGGGGAUAAGCAGCACAGCCAAGGUCACACAGCAAGCCCAUGGUUCAGCCAGGGACAAAUAAGUUCCAGAGUGGGUGAUGGAGGCAGGCCUGCGGGUGGAAUGCCCUGCCACAUGGCUCUGGCGGCCUGCCAUCACCUAAGCCUUCUCUGCCAUCCAGGCUCAGAGGCAGGGCUGUGCCAGCAACAUGGCCCCCCGUGUCUCCAGGAUUGCUGGGUGGGAACGGAGCAGUAUUUCUGGGGUCAGCUGGGCAUCUGUGCUGCCAGGACAGGGCCCUGGGGCAAGCAUCCUGCUGGAGCUGCCAGCAGCUUGGCAUUAAUUAAUCUUCUGGAGGCCUGUCGAGUCCCUAACAAGGAAUAG